AAAAUUGAAAAAUAUAUUCUCAGAAACGAAAAACCCUUUCUCGUUCUUUCUCUAUUCUCCCAAACGAAAAACCCUUUUGUUCUUCAUCUUCUCCCAAACCAAAAAUCUGCUGAAAUCUCGCCGGAAACUGCAUAAAGUUGCUGGUAACUGUAUAGAGUACCGGAUUUUGGAAAUCAGAAGAAGCUCCAGCGAGAUAUUUCUUCUUCUCUUUUUGUGUUUUCUUGUCUAAAAGAAAACGCAAAUCCACAUCGUAGGUAACGGAGUCUCAUCUUACAAAUCCACAUUGACCAACGAAAGCGGCGUAAUGACUCGCCAUCCAUCUACGUCAUCUUUCCCAGUCGGAUCUCCCUCAAUUAGAGCUGAAACAAGUGGCCUCGAUGGUGAAGAAGUUGAACGGCGUGGUCUCCUUCUUGGCGAAGGCUAACUGUUCUCGCCGUUAUCUUUGGAAUCCCUAAAUUGUCUACACGUCACACAAGCGGCGAUUGUGAUACUGCUGUAGUGUAACAGUUAUGGGGAAACCGAGUUCACCUGUUUGGACUGAGAUCUACAACUCAUAAUACAGAUUGAUCAUGGGAGUAUCGGUUCUCAUUGGUAUUGCUCUUUUUCUCGGGAUUCUCGUCUUUCGUUCAUCUUCAAAAAAAAAUCGCAUCUAUGUCUUCAGCUUUUUUUUUUAAUUUUUAUAUUCUGCUUUAAAUAUCAUGCUGUUGAUUUGUUUAUCUUAAUCUUCUGCUAAGGUGGAAUCUCUACUAUAGUUUGAACUAAUGAAUUUAGAAAAAGAGUGAGAAAUGCAAUUGAAUUUGAUUUUUGAUUCCUAAAAUCCAGCCUAGCGAAUUGGAAUUGCAUGAGUUAACUUCGCGCGCAACUGUGUUAUAGUUUAGUUUCUAGAUUCGUUAAUUUUACUAGUAUAAUUUUGUCAAUUCGUUCUUGAAAUUAGUACUGUGAUGAAACACAGCUUAUUUGCAGCAUAUAGCAAAUUUAGCAGCUUAUAGCAAAGUGCUUAUCAAAAUAAGCGCUUAUAAUAUAAGCUGACAGAGAAAGAUAUAUGGAAAUUAGAUACAUGGUAGCGGACAGAGGAAUUGAAUAGCAAAUUCCAGAAAUGUUGGGCCAAGGAGUCUGAGAAGCCAAAACCUGGGCUUUUGAAAGCAUUAAAUGCAAGCCAUGGAGGAAGUCCAGCCAGAAUGGGCUAUAUUUACGCCUUCUCAAUUUUUGUUGGAGUGGUAGGAUACAAAUCUGAUUAAAUAUUUAUCUGCUGAUAUUUGGAUUUUAUUGAAUGCAUUUUGAAGACAACAGUUUUGAUUCUUAAUUUCUAUUUUUUUUGGUAACAUGAUUCUUAAUUUCUUUAUUAUAUGGGAGAGACUACCAACAAAUGCAGAAGAGGUGCAAAAUACAUUUCGAGCUCCGGUUUCAGACCAUAUAUCUGGCAGGCAGCAGCAAAACUUCAUAUCUAAUAACUUCUUCCAUUAUGUUUUGUAGAGGGAAAACAAGAUGUUACUUUUAGAACUGUCUUAAAAAUUUGACGAAGUUCUCUUUUUUGGUUUCGCCAUUGCAGCAAUCUGAAUUCAAGGUGAUGCAAAGAGACGGCGUUUUGGAUAUAGCUGCUUGGGAAGUGAUGGAAGAGAAGAAAAAAUGAAGUUGAUUACCUAUUUCAACUGCUUCUAUACCUGCAUGACAAAUAUUAAUAAUGCAAUCAACAUAUUUUCUUGGUAUUAUAUUGUUCUAUUUUUUCUUUGAAUCAAGAAAUGGUGCUAAGGAUGCACCGGUUGUGUUAUGGUUGACCGGAGGACCAGGUUGUGCCAGUGAACUAGCUUUGUUUUAUGAGAAUGGUCCUUUUAAAAUUAACAAUGAUUUGUCUCUUUCAUGGAAUGACUAUGGCUGGGACAAGGUAAUAACAUUUAAUUCCUAUGACAAGUUUUUGAACUAAUUAUGUCAUGAAUUUACGAUGGUUCUAAAUUGCGGUUAUCAUUGUUAAUCUCUUUUGAAAAAGUACAGUCUGAUCCAAAUCUGGUUCCUGUAACUUUUUCACAUGCCACAGUGGAUAAUAAGCACCUAGCAGAUAUCCCUAAAAACUCUGAUGAAGCAAUAUCUAAUGUUGUAACCCCGUCAGAUUGGUAUAACGAUGCAUGUAAUGCUACUGGUGCACAAUAUCAAAUUGUAAAAGUAUCGACUGCAGAAGUUUGACGGGCUAACUGUAACAUAGUUUUAAUCUAUUAUUUUGUUCCUUUCCAUUGAAACUGAAUGCUUACUUUCAAAUUCUGAUUUCAGCUAUAAUCAACCAGCUUACGAAAAAAUAGCUUGUGAAUGGGCAAAAGAUGAGUUUGGAUUUAUCGCUCCAAGCGAUUCUGUUUCAACAGGAAGUAGCAUAAUGCCUCAAAAAAGGAAUCUGGACCCAAUGGAACUUGUUCGUGGUAAGUCUGGCAGAGUCAUAGGGGGUUUGGUCACUCUUCUAACAGUGGAAAGGACUUCCACAUGCUUACAAUCGCGAUUUGCAGGUAGUUAGGUUUAAUAUGUCUAUGAAAUUACCUGGCCUUAUGUAUAAAUAUCCUACCUAGGUAUCCAUUUUUCUGUAGAGGGAUGUGUAACAAGCAUAUAGCUUUUUUAAAGGGGUAUAAGUAAUUUGAAAGUCUGAAGUGAUCCUUCCAGGUGUUGCCUUUCGUCUGUUAUAACACUUGGAAGCUUGUAGAAAAACUUCAUCCCUUCACACAUUAACAGUAUGCGGCCUUGCCCCUGUGAUAACAGGGAGGUUGUUUCCGGAGUGACCCGUGAAGUGCAAACAUUAUCUACUACUUCACGAACGAUAACAA